UUGGACACCAAAAUAAUUUUUUUGGGGGACUUUGAGAGCUGACUUUUAUUCGGUAUGCUAACCGAGAGUGAUCGUAUCCCAUUCUAUUUAAUCUUCUAUUUAGCCGGAGCCUCCACGUAACGUCUAAUAGUUCUGGUCACCGCAGCUGAUUCUAAGAAUACGGAAUUUGAAGGUUUUGACGACAAAAAAAAUUUUUUUGGCACUCCGAUUGAGCUGGCUGGCCUCCGGUAAGAACACGGGCGAUUUAUCGUACCCUUUGGUGUUUUCUUCCUUUUCUCUUUAGUUUUCCCCCCCGCCCUUCCCCACGUUGCUGGAGACGCUAAAUGGAGGGAGGCGACGCUUUUCCUCGAUCGAAGCAUCGAGAGGGGAGGUUUCGAUUGACCAUGUCCGCCCUUGUCUUAGAUCGAUCAUGGUUUCCUGCAUCGCUCGGUUUCGUUGUCGUCGUCUCCGAGAACGAUUCUUGAAAGAAUCGACGAGAUUUCUAAGUGCCGCGAGGCCUUCUUCUUCGUGGAUGAUCUGGGUUUCAGAACACUUCAUCUUCUCGAUCGUCACAGCAAGAUUAGUGUUUGCCGGAAUUGUAUCAGCGACAUCUCAGCGUUAAAUUGUCGUGGCGACUUUUCCUCA